GUGUUCGGGUAAUCGCGGGCUGCAAAUGCAGUCUGAGGAAAGUCCAAGCUUGCACAGGCUGCGAUGCCUGUAGUGAUCGUGCUUGCUGAAAAAAUAAGGCAAGGGUACCUACAUUUGUAGGUAACGGCAGAUAAAAAGGCUAAAACUUCGGUCAUGCCUGAGUAGUCUUGAAAAGUGCCACAGUGACGAAGUAGUAUUGGAAACGGUACUAGUGGAACGCGGUAAACCCCUCGAGCAGGUAACCCAAAUUUUGGUAGGGGCGCUUCAUGACGGAAAUGAACUAAUCAUGGGGGCGAGUUUUUAACUCGGAGAUAGAUGAUUACCACCGAUUCCAGUCCUGGCUGGAUGACGUACGGAACGUGGCUUAUAGAG
rnacentral:RNase_P_RNA from 1 species